UGUAAGCGUAUACCAAAGUUGUUGCAGUUAAAACGCUCGUAGUCGGACUUUGGCAGUUCCGGAUGUGUGCACGUCGUGUGCGCACUUCGCGGGGAUUGCUUUUGUGGUCUUGCGUAGGAUGAGGCACUUUUAUUAGUGAACGUCCUCACGCAACCACUUUUUACUGUGAGAAAAUCAGAGUGCUCAAAGCAGGCAUUUGCCGUGAAUGUAUUAGCAUGGAAUAAUAGAAUAGGACUCGGUUCUAUUUUGUUGGUUUGUUGGGACUGAGUAAUGAUUAAGAGGGACAGUUGGGGGCAUUUGUAUUUCGGCGCUAGAGGUGAAAUUCUUAGAUUGCCGAAAGACAAACUGCUGCGAAAGCGUCUGCCAAGGAUGUUUUCAUUGA
rnacentral:rRNA from 1 species